AACGUAGGACGCAAGCGUUAUCCGGAGUUACUGGGCGUAAAGCGCGGGCAGGCGGCCCGAUGCGUCUGAUGUGAAAUCUCCUCGCUCAACGGGGAGAGGCCAUUGGAAACGGACGGGCUGGAGGGCAGUAGAGGUAGGCGGAAUUCCGGGUGGAGUGGUGAAAUGCGUAGAGAUCCGGAGGAACACCAGAGGCGAAGGCGGUCUGCUGGGCAGUUUCUGACACUGAGGCGCGACAGCGUGGGGAGCAAACAGG
rnacentral:rRNA from 1 species